rnacentral:rRNA from 1 species
GAUCAUGGCUCAGGAUGAACGCUAUCUACAGGCUUAACACAUGCAAGUCGAGGGGAAACGACAUCGAAAGCUUGCUUUUGAUGGGCGUCGACCGGCGCACGGGUGAGUAACACGUGUGCAACCAACCCCGUACCGGGAGAUAACCCGCGGAAACGUGGACUAACAUCCCAUAAUACUGGAGGAUCGCAUGAUCUUUCAUUUAAAAUUCCGGUGGUACGGGACGGGCACGCGCGACAUUAGGUAGUUGGCGGGGUAACGG